AUAACAUCCGGAAACGGGUGCUAAUACCGCAUAGUUUUCUUGAUCGCAUGAUUGAGAAAGGAAAGACGGCCUUUGUGCUGUCGCUUAUGGAUGGACCCGCGGCGUAUUAGUUAGUUGGUGAGGUAACGGCUCACCAAGACGAUGAUACGUAGCCGACCCUGAGAGGGUGAUCGGCCACAUUGGGACUGAGACACGGCCCAAACUCCUACGGGAGGCAGCAGUAGGGAAUCUUCCGCAAUGGACGAAAGUCUGACGGAGCAACGCCGCGUGAGUGAAGAAAAGGGUUUUCGGAUCGUAAAACUCUGUUGUCAGAGAAGAACAAGUUGGAGAGUAACUGCUCCAGCCUUGACGGUAUCUGACCAGAAAGCCACGGCUAACUACGUGCCAGCAGCCGC
rnacentral:rRNA from 1 species